rnacentral:rRNA from 1 species
AGAGCGAACGCUGGCGGCAGGCCUAACACAUGCAAGUCGAGCGCCCCGCAAGGGGAGCGGCAGACGGGAGAGUAACACGUGGGAACGUACCCUUCAGUUCGGAACAACCCAGGGAAACCUUGGGCUAAUACCGAAUACGUCCGUAAGGAGAAAGAUUUAUCGCUGAAGGAUCGGCCCGCGUCUGAUUAGCUAGUUGGUGAGGUAACGGCUCACCAAGGCUACGAUCAGUAGCUGGUCUGAGAGGAUGAUCAGCCUCACUGGGACUGAGACACGGCCCAGACUCCUACGGGAGGCAGCAGUGGGGAAUAUUGGACAAUGGGCGCAAGCCUGAUCCAGCCAUGCCGCGUGGAUGAUGAAGGCCUUAGGGUUGUAAAAGUCCUUUCGACGGGGAAGAUAAUGACGGUACCCGUAGAAGAAGCCCCGGCUAACUUCGCGCCAGCAGCCGC